AACAGGAUUAGAUACCCUGGUAGUCCACGCCGUAAACGUUGGGCGCUAGAUGUGGGUCACAUUCCACGUGAUCCGUGUCGCAGCUAACGCAUUAAGCGCCCCGCCUGGGGAGUACGGCCGCAAGGCUAAAACUCAAAGGAAUUGACGGGGGCCCGCACAAGCGGCGGAGCAUGCGGAUUAAUUCGAUGCAACGCGAAGAACCUUACCAAGGCUUGACAUAUACAGGAAAACUGCAGAAAUGUAGUCCCCCGCAAGGGUCUGUAUACAGGUGGUGCAUGGUUGUCGUCAGCUCGUGUCGUGAGAUGUUGGGUUAAGUCCCGCAACGAGCGCAACCCUCGUCCUAUGUUGCCAGCACGUUAUGGUGGGAACUCAUGGGAGACUGCCGGGGUCAACUCGGAGGAAGGUGGGGAUGACGUCAAAUCAUCAUGCCCCUUAUGUCUUGGGCUUCACGCAUGCUACAAUGGCCGGUACAAAGGGCUGCAAUACCGCAAGGUGGAGCGAAUCCCAAAAAGCCGGUCUCAGUUCGGAUUGAGGUCUGCAACUCGACCUCAUGAAGUCGGAGUCGCUAGUAAUCGCAGAUCAGCAACGCUGCGGUGAAUACGUUCCCGGGCCUUGUACACACCGCCCGUCAAGUCACGAAAGUCGGUAACACCCGAAGCCGGUGGCCUAACCGUAA
rnacentral:rRNA from 1 species